rnacentral:rRNA from 1 species
GGGGAAUAUUGGACAAUGGGGGAAACCCUGAUCCAGCAAUGCCGCGUGUGUGAAGAAGGCCUUAGGGUUGUAAAGCACUUUUGUUAGGGAGGAAGGAGUGUAGGCUAAUAACCUGCAUGACAGACGUUACCUAAAGAAUAAGCACCGGCUAACUCUGUGCCAGCAGCCGCGGUAAUACAGAGGGUGCAAGCGUUAAUCGGAAUUACUGGGCGUAAAGGGUGCGUAGGUGGACGCAUAAGUCGGAUGUGAAAUCCCUGGGCUUAACCUAGGAACUGCAUUCGAUACUGUGAGUCUAGAGUACGGUAGAGGUAAGUGGAAUUUCCGGUGUAGCGGUGAAAUGCGUAGAUAUCGGAAGGAACAUCAGUGGCGAAGGCGACUUACUGGACUGAUACUGACACUGAGGCACGAAAGCGUGGGGAGCAAAC